GACGUAGGGCGCGAGCGUUGUCCGGAUUUAUUGGGCGUAAAGAGCUCGUAGGCGGCUUGUCGCGUCGGCUGUGAAAUCCCGUGGCUCAACUGCGGGUCUGCAGCCGAUACGGGCAGGCUAGAGUUCGGUAGGGGAGACUGGAAUUCCUGGUGUAGCGGUGAAAUGCGCAGAUAUCAGGAGGAACACCGAUGGCGAAGGCAGGUCUCUGGGCCAUAACUGACGCUGAGAAGCGAAAGCAUGGGGAGCGAACAGG
rnacentral:rRNA from 1 species